rnacentral:rRNA from 1 species
AUUGAACGCUGGCGGCAGGCCUAACACAUGCAAGUCGAGCGGUAGAGAGGUGCUUGCAUCUCUUGAGAGCGGCGGACGGGUGAGUAAUGCCUAGGAAUCUGCCUAGUGGUGGGGGAUAACGUUCGGAAACGGACGCUAAUACCGCAUACGUCCUACGGGAGGAAAGCGGGGGAGUCUUCGGACCUCGCGCCAUUAGAUGAGCCUAGGUCGGAUUAGCUAGUUGGUGAGGUAAUGGCUCACCAAGGCGACGAUCCGUAACUGGUCUGAGAGGAUGAUCAGUCACACUGGAACUGAGACACGGUCCAGACUCCUACGGGAGGCAGCAGUGGGGAAUAUUGGACAAUGGGCGCAAGCCUGAUCCAGCCAUGCCGCGUGCAGGAUGACGGUCCUAUGGA